CACUGAUCCCUUUUUUUUUCUAAAGGGGACAAAACUUCCAAAUGAAUAAUGAACCUAAUAGAAGAUCGGACAAGGAUGGAAAGAGAAAAUCCACAGUGAGUAAAUACGAAUGGCCCGAAGCCACGAAAAGAUGCUCAAUGGUAGGAUACUCAGGGAAAUGUCACUCAUGCCACAAAGAGUUUUUAACUGGCAAAAAUGAAAAAUACUGCUAUUGUGGGGUGUUGACAUGGGCAUGGGGAAAUGCACUCUCGCAACUUGGAAAGAGUGGUAACUGGUUAGUCUUUCGGAAGGGCAAUUUAUCGGUGCUUAUUCACACAUAUAAUGCAAACAGCCUUUCACUGGACAGUGUUAUUCCAAGAUACCUGACAAGUAGAAAUACUCUCACAUAAGCAAAAAGAUGCUCGCACAGAUAUAUGCAUUGCACCAUUGUUUGAGUGGGGAAUUAAAAAUAACCUAGAUGUCCAUCAUAGGGGAAUUAAUAAAGUACGGUGUACACAUUCUGCAAAAAAUGUGAAUUAGUUGUUAAAUGCAAUGAAAUAGAUUGACAUGCGGCAACAGAAUGUCUACCACACUGUUAUGUGAAAGAAGCCAGUUACAGAGCAGUAAGUAUGGCCCUGUCUGUCCACAGAUGUGUGUGUGUGUAAUAGAAGCCAUCCUUCUCUGGACAAUGCUUAUCUCUGGAGGAGAGACUGAUUGAGGUGAAAAUAUAGUGGGUGGGGAAGGGGAUUUCUCUUUUUUUUUAUUUUUAUUUUUGUUUUGAGACUGACUCUUGCUCUGUAGCCCAGGCUGGAGUGCAGUGGCACGAUCUUGGCUCACUGCAACCUCUGCCUUCCAGGUUCAAGCAAUUCUCCUAUCUCAGCCUCCUGAGUAACUGGGACUAUAGGCACACACCACCACGCCCGGCUAAUUUUUUUGUAUUUUUAGCAGAGACAGGGUUUUGCCAUGUUGGCUAGACUGGUCUGGAAUUCCUGAUGUCAGGUGAUCCACCCACUUUGGCCUCCCAAAGUGCUGGGAUUACAGGCGUGAGCCACUGCACCCAGCCAGGAAAGGGAUUUCUUACUCUAGAUUUUAUAUGCUUCUGUAGUGCUUUAUUUUCUUACAGAGAGAAUGUGUUUCAUAUAAUACUUGCAUAAUUUUUUUAACAAGUCGAAUAGUUUAACAAGCGAGGCUGGAGAUAGCUCUUGCUGACCAGCUCUUGCUGGGAGAAGCGAGGUUCACUGGGCCUGCGGACAGCUGCAGUUUGGGAUUUAGGAGCUUCAAGGUUUCUGAACUGGAAAAGUCCUGGGGUCCUUUGUCUGUGCAAAGAUCCAUCUCGAACACAUCGGCCACUGCCUGCUGUGGCCCAGCCUGCACCAGGCAGUUUCAUGGAUACAGGACGGUAUCAUUUUCAACCCCACCCUGUGAGGGAAGUGUUUUCAUUCCCACUUUUGUGACAGAAGCCCUGAGCCAUAGGGAGCUCACCCAGCGGGAAGUGGUAGCAUCGGCUUGGAGCCCAGUCCCAGGCUGGGAGGAGAGAAAAGCUGUGAACCUCCCAGAACACUGGCUUUCGCAUUGAAGGAGCUCUCAGGAGAGGCCUCGCCAAGCCCUAGGGCAAACAGGAACAGGCUGAAAGGCAUAAGGGGAAGGGUCAAGGAGAGACACUGGCUAGGCUGGUCCCAUGGGCCUAGGAAAGCAGUCACAGUCCUGUCCAGAUCCCCCCAGGGCACAGCCUAUGCCUAGAGUCCCUCCUUCCACUAACCCUUGAUGGUUGCCGGUCCACCCUCGCCCUGCUCAGUCCUCCCUCAUCUGAGAAUGACAGGCUUGGCUGGGGAAUCUUGUCCUCAUUGUGCCAGCAGCCUGGGGACCUGAAAAAGAAAGGUCUCACCUCCUUGGGCCCAUCUCCCUCCCUCCAGUCACUGCCAUCCACUCCACCAUUGCUGCGGCCAACUCCUGGUGGGGACCACGUGGGCUUCUCUGCUGCCAUCCUCACAUCUCUCAGGGGCUCCACCACACCCACUGACAGAGGAGCAUGCUGCAGCUCCAAGGGUUUAGUGGAUUGAAUAGUGGCCCCCAAAAAUCCAUGUCCAAGUCUGAACACCCCAGUAUCUGUGAACGUGCACUUAUUUGGAAAUAGGUCUUUAUCAAUGGAAUUGAGGUAAGGAUCUCCAGAUGGGAUCAUCCUGAAUUUAGGGAGGCCCUAAACCCAAUGACUGGCAUUCAGUUCCAUGUGGCUGGGGAGGCCUCACAAUCAUGGUGGAAGGCAAGGAGGAACAAGUCACAUCUUA
rnacentral:lncRNA from 10 species